GACAGAGGGUGCAAACGUUGUUCGGAAUUACUGGGCGUAAAGCGUGUGUAGGCGGCCAUGUAAGUCUGUUGUGAAAGCCCCGGGCUCAACCUGGGAAUGGCAAUGGAUACUGGCAGGCUAGAGUGCGGUAGAGGGUAGUGGAAUUCCCGGUGUAGCGGUGAAAUGCGUAGAGAUCGGGAGGAACACCAGUGGCGAAGGCGGCUACCUGGACCAGCACUGACACUGAGGCACGAAAGCGUGGGGAGCAAACAGG
rnacentral:rRNA from 1 species